rnacentral:lncRNA from 1 species
GUCUAUUUCUCCUGCAGAGUGAGCUGGACUUGGAAAAGGGCUUGGAGAUGAGAAAAUGGGUCCUGUCGGGAAUCCUGGCUAGCGAGGAGACUUACCUGAGCCACCUGGAGUGUUCACCGACCUGCUUCUCUGCACCAAGCUCAAGAAGCAGAGCGGAGGAAAACGCAGCAGUAUGACUGCAAAUGGUACAUUCCGCUCACGGAUCUCAGCUUCCAGAUGGUGGAUGAACUGGAGGCA